GCGGAGCGGCUGCACCCGAUCCCAUUCCGAACUCGGCCGUGAAACGCUCCAGCGCCAAUGGUACUUCGUCUCAGACGCGGGAGAGUAGGUC
rnacentral:rRNA from 1 species